rnacentral:tRNA from 1 species
GAAAUAUAUAAAUUUAAGCUUCUAACUUAAAAAAUAGCAAUUUUGUUAAUAUUUCU